GAUGAACGCUGGCGGCGUGCCUAAUACAUGCAAGUCGAGCGAACGGACGAGAAGCUUGCUUCUCUGAUGUUAGCGGCGGACGGGUGAGUAACACGUGGAUAACCUACCUAUAAGACUGGGAUAACUUCGGGAAACCGGAGCUAAUACCGGAUAAUAUUUUGAACCGCAUGGUUCAAAAGUGAAAGACGGUCUUGCUGUCACUUAUAGAUUUAUCCGCGCUGCAUUAGCUAGUUGGUAAGGUAACGGCUUACCAAGGCAACGAUGCAUAGCCGACCUGAGAGGGUGAUCGGCCACACUGGAACUGAGACACGGUCCAGACUCCUACGGGAGGCAGCAGUAGGGAAUCUUCCGCAAUGGGCGAAAGCCUGACGGAGCAACGCCGCGUGAGUGAUGAAGGUCUUCGGAUCGUAAAACUCUGUUAGUAGGGAAGAACAGAUGUGUAAGUAACUGUGCACAUCUUGACGGUACCAAAACAGAAAGCCACGGCUAACUACGUG
rnacentral:rRNA from 1 species